UGUUCUCUCCUUGUCGUUCAUCGCUCUCUCUCCACCGCUCCACCGCGGCGCUCGUUCUCUCUACCUCAAUCUCCCACAGGCCACAGCUAGACGACCACCGCACUGCUCCGAUAGCCAAUCGACUUCAGCCUUCUCUUCUCUCUCUCCCACAUCCAAUAACUCAACAUGAUCAGAUUAAUUACCAUGACAAUUGCUGGUCGUGAUUAUCUCAACUUCAUGGGCAAUGAAUUUGGGCAUCCAGAGAGGAUUGAGUUCCCAAUGCCAAGCAACAAUUUCUCAUUUUCACUUACCAACCGAAGGUGGAUCUUCUUGCCAACGAGAGAUUGCAUCGCAACUUGCUUACCUUCGAUAAGGCCGGACUUGUGAAUAAAGAGAUAAGCAAAACGAGACGAGUUUAAGUGGACUUGCCUGCAAAAGAUGUAAUAUGAAACCAUUGUACAAGAAGAUGAUUAUGACUUUAUGUCAGCUUGUUCAAUUUAAUGUAUUAUGGCUGAAUGGAAGAAAGUUAUUAUAUGUAGAUUUGAGGCUUCCUUAGUUUUGAGGCAUGGCAGGAACAAAUGCCUAUAAUGUUUUUAUGUAUGGAUUUGGGAAAUACUACUUAUUUUA